rnacentral:misc_RNA from 1 species
UAGGUAUACUCACUAGCACAACAACACAGGCCGAUUCAAAGCGGUUCCGUUCUUAUUGUCAUCUGUUGAGAGUUAACCUCCCCCCGCCUUCUGUCGCUGUUUGGUUGUUCCGCUCACGAGUGAGUGUCCCCACGUCUGCACGCGUUGUCCCCUCUCUUGUUUCGUUCACCCUUCUCUUUGUUGUUUGAUGUUUUUUUUUUUAUUUUGCUGCUCACGGCAAUUUUUUCAUUUUUGUUUUUGUGUUUUAGGAGCCCGCACUCGCUGUCUGUCUGUCGUUGUCGCUGCACUCGGCGUUUGUCUGUCCACUAUCUCUUUCUUUCGCUUCUGCUCGUUGUUGUUCUCUUGUUCGUAAGUCAAGCGACCGCAAACAUCUUCUGCCACCGUUAAGUAAUAAUACGUAGGCCGACACCGACACCGGUACUGGGGCAACGAGAAGGUGAAGAGGUCAGAGAAAGGGAGUCGGCGUGGGGUGGGCAAAAGGGCAAACACAGCAUUCACGCUUUUUGUCGUUGUUGUUACUCGUCACGUCCAUAGGAGCUGAAGGAAACCCACUCCGCUGCUACACCUUUGCCUGCUCACCAAAGGACACGCACACACACAGUCAUCGAACCCUCCCUGUCGUACAAUUCCCGCUAUUUUGGCGUUUCGCUCUGGCUGCUCGAUGCCGCAACCAGCCUCUAGUCACGCCUUAGAGCGUGAGCAGCUGGCGAGUGUGGUGCGCAAGCUGGUGAUCGAUGCCGACGAGUUUUUUGCCCAGCAGCAGAAAACGCUGCAGCUGUCCUAUGCCGAACUAAACAGCCGUAUCGAGCAGCUGCGAAUGCGUGUGCUGCAGCAGCAACUGCAGCUGAGCCCGAUGCACACGGCGAAUGGCGGAUACAGUAACAUGAACCCGUCUCUCUUUUCAGCGCUGCACAACAUCCCGAACGCGGAUCUACUGGGCCUCUCCGGGUCUAACGUCGGCAUGGUCGGCGGUGUCGCGACAACGCCAAAUGCUGCCAAUGCUAUGAACGCCACACCGAUGCGUCCGAAGACCGGUGGCGCGACUCGGUCGUUGAUGGGCAGCCUGAACGGACCCAACGCGGUGCUGGGCAUGAGUGAGGCAUUAUCAGAGAGCGCGCGCUCUAACGGUGCGCUUGGUGGUUAUCUGAGCACGGCUCUGAACGGCAACAACGCAGCAACGGCAGGUCCGGGGUCACUGCGCUCCUACAAGGCGGAUGCCGUGACGCCACCGAAGAAGCAGCUGGCCCUCUCGCAGCCAACGAACAAGAGCCCUAGCAUGCCCUCGCCGCACUUGGCAGGUGGGCUGAACGCAAUGUCCGUCAUAGACGACGCCAUCAGCGGAGAGUUUUUCUCAACGGCACCGAACAACAACAACCGCAGCCACCACGACUCGCUGAUGGCGUCUCCACAGGCUACACAGAAGCUCUCGCUGGUCGAGCUUAUUGAACGCUUCAACAUGUCGUCUGCCCCCGUGAACACGACCUCUUCCUCUGCCUUCAACUUCGACUCGCUCUAUGAGCAACUCACCGGCGGCGGUGGUGCAGAGGAGUUGUCGCAGAGUCCGAUGGAUUACACGGAGAAGGCACCGAACUUGAUUCCGACCGGCCAGCCAGAUAACGCUCAGGCGUCGCCAUGCGACCGCCACCAUGACAACGGCGGCGACCCGUCGCCGGACGCGAACGGCAUCAGCGGUGGUGCCAUGGCGAAGAAUAGCAUUCCUAUCGAUACGCUGCGCGCCUUGCACGACCAGCAUUUGACGACCAGCGUGCGUGUCGCUUACGAGCGGGGGCGCCCGAAGGUCUUGAAGAUUCUUGGUGGCGCGGCCGACACUCCUGGGAGGCUUGGCAUUGACCCCCGCAGCAGCUGCGAGGUGCUCGUGGAGUUUAAACGGAAUCGGGUUCUCCAGUACGAAUCACAUGAGUACGUUGCGCCGGGCAGCUACGUCAUUGUCGGCGGCGACCGCGGUGAGGACCUGGGUCUCGUCGUUUACGUCUGGUGCGAGGUGGCGCAGGAAGGAAACGGCCACGGGCACGCAGGCGGUGGCGCCGGUGCGUUCGACAAGACUGCCUCUGCGUCUCGCAAGCGCCAGGUGGUCGGCGUUGGCCUGACAGACAGCAAACUGCCGCGCAGCAUCGGAGUGGGCAACGGCACUGUCUUGCGACUGGCAUCGGAGACAGACGUGCAGCAGUUACUCGGCACCCAGGCGGAACUGGAGCGCCGCGCCAUUGACGUGUGUGCUCAGCUGGUGCUCGACCACUCUCUGCCAAUGGUGAUUGUCGACGCUGAGUACCAGUUUGACAAGAAGAAGCUGACGUUCUUCUACGAGGCUCAGCAGCGGAUGGACUUCCGAGAACUGGUGCGCCACCUAUACAAGACGUUUCGUGCGCGUAUUUGGAUGGAGCUGGUAGACGCGUAAAGCAGCUGCAAUGCGAUGCUUUUCCUCGCCCAGGGGCAUGAGCACAAGCGAUGCGUUUUUGUUUUCUCGCUCGCGCUUGUGCGAUCGAUAUGUGCCCGCGCGUCGUGUCACGCGUGUUGCGUAUCGGCGCGUAUGUGCGUCGACCCACCGAGGUUUCUUCACUUUCCCUUUAUAGAUGUCACUGUUUACUUUUUGUGUGUUUUGUUUUGACUACAUUUCUUCCUUACAAAGCCGACACACCCAAGCCCGGGAAAAAGCGGCAGCAAGUAAAGUAACGAGACGGAGAAACGGAGGCGAACUUGUGGGGUGUUAAGAGGUCCUCCGACAGGGAGUUUCUUUUUCUUUCCUUUGCCCGUUGCAGUGGUCAAGGUGGGAGAGAGAAAACAGAUGAAGAUCAACCAAAACCAGGAGAAAAAAAAGAAUAAGUAAAAAAACCACAAAGGAAAAGAAAGGAAAAAAAAAAGAAACACCGCCAAAUAAACGAAAGCGACAGGAACGGAUUGCACGCGUAAUCUCGUAAUUCAUGGUGCGGGAUUUAUUAUUAUUAUUUUUUCGGUCUUGCAUAUAGGCACCGUUAGGGGAUAAGAGAGGAGAGGGCUGGAGGAGGGGGCGACUGAUUCUUGCGAGACAUGUGGAUCGCUAGCGAAUGAGAGAUCUGCGCGAUUUUCGAAGCUGUCUUAGCUUUUCCAUGCUGCGACGCGACGCGGCUGCCAUGUGCUGAUCAAAGAGAGUAAAGCAUUCAAAAGGGAAGCCGCGUCAAGCUGCAUCAGCUUCCGCACUACCCCCUCCCCCUCCCGUCUGCAUCUUAGGUGCGUCAGCCGGAAGCGGUAGAAAGGGGGGGGGGAGCGGAUUUCAGGUAAGAAGCCGUAUGCUCUCCGUCCAGAACGGGCAUCAAAGAUGAAGAGCUUCGAUAACCUUCAGCGAGCAUGGAUGCGCGCAUCUCCGCAUGGCGACCAUUUGGAUGUUUUUCCAACCUUGUUCUUCGUGAUUCGUGUGAAAAGUCAUUCUUUUCGGUGAAGGAGACGUCCCCAAACCACACAAGCGUUUUUCCCCCUUUCACUCUUGCUUUGGUCGACCUUCGCUUCGUGAUCGUUGGGCGUCUUCGCGUACUGGUGCUGCUGUUCCCCUCGGUAGGGUUCAUGCCAGCAUCUCAUUUGUUGCCUACCGCUGUCCUCUUCCCCCCUUCUUUACCCCCCUCUCGGUUCGCUUUCUUGGUGUCCCCCUCGACCGUUUUUGUCACGCUCUACCCAUCUUUCUCCCCGUCAGAUUAUUUUUCUCGCUUUCGACUAUGAAUUGUGCGGCUUGCCCUCACUCCUCUUCGUGUUUUACGACUCUUACUGCGACCUUGGUGUGAAUGCCCCCGCCACGAUCUGGGCCACUCAACAGCACAUGUGUUGAUCUCUCGUUUUUCUCCAUCUCCCCUUCUUGCGUCCCUGUCGCUCCUUCAGCUAGACUCUCUUAUGUUGCCGCUUUCUCUUUUUUUUUCGGUAGACAUGCGCAAUGGGCGGCCACCGCGGCGACUAGCGAUCUCCCGUUCACGGCCACUAUCACUGCUUCUGUAUGUGCAGUGUAGCGCAUGUGCACUUUUUUGGCGACGUGCUCAGCCCCCUCUUUUUUUUUUGUGCCUUUGUGUUUCCAUUUCUGUUAUCUUUGUCUACCCCAUCCCUGCGCUCUCCUCCGUUCUCUUCGUCUCCAACCUCCAUGCUUAUGCCGCACGAUAGUGCCAGCACCUUCUUCUUUUUCUUCUCUUUCUUCGCCGCGUCUUUCACGCUUAUGUAUUUUUGAAGGGAUUGCCAGUUUCUCAGGGCAGCGGCACACACCUCAGUGCGUGGUAGCACACAGCCCCGAGCCGCAGGCUUUCUGGGAAGGAUGCCAUGCAGACCCCCUCCUCCCUCGAUCCCCCUGCCAAAUGCCGGGCCACUUGUGGUGGUGACAGGGUCACGCACCCUACGCCGUGGGGAGCUGGGAGCGAUGCAUCGCUGCUCAUGUCGUCGGUGAGGCUCUGGACGGUGUUGUGUGGGAGCGACAUGCGACAGUGAGCACGCUUGUGCCAUCCAUAUGAUAGGCAAAGUGUCAGCGUGGCUCGAACGUGCAUCCUACCCGGCCCUCGCACUGCCCACCGUCGUGGUUAGCCUGAGCCGCCCCACAGGGGAUGCAGCAGGGGUGGCGACCCUCGCGAUGGGAGGGCGUCUCUGCGGUGGGUGGGUCGAGUGUGAGGCAGGGGCCCUGCUGCGAGAUGGCUGAGUCGGUGCACUGCUGUAACGUGUGUGCCGUGACGGGGGGAGGGGGGGGGCUUCGCACCGCGCGGAUAGGCCUGUGACGGACCGGGAACUGGUGGUAGAGCGGCGUUUGAGCUCAUGGCUUGCCGUGGAGGGGGCACGCUGAGCAAAGAAAUUCGUCUAUGCGACGCAUUGGUGAAACGGGUCUUUUAUCUAGUGGUGCUGCUGUUUCUUUUUCCUCAUUUUUUGCGUGUUCGGACUCUCUUGGGUGCUGUCUGGAGGAUCUACGAGACUUGUUGACGUCUUUUGUUCUCCAGGUCUACUUCAAAUGGUGUUGCAGUCGUUGGGUCGACCUCUUCCGAGUGUGACGUUUUUUCUUUUGCUAGUCAGGGUGGUGGUGGUCGCGGGGCGAGCGAGAACCUUUUUUUUACUAGCGUGAAUCUGUAUGUGUGUGUUAGUGUGCGACUCCGCCGCUCACUCUCCUGUUUUUUUUUUUCGUCGUCGUUGUCCGUCUUCUACGCCGCAUCUGGGAAGACUUUUGCGUUUUCCUUUUUCUGUUUUUUUUUUUUUCAUUUCUCGUGGUGUGCGUUGAAUGUGCUGGUGUGCUGCGUCCUGCCGACCGUCUAUGAGCGCCGUGCGCUUUCGCAUUGGACGCGAGACGCAAGGCGAAAAGGGAUCCAGAAGUACAUAUAUCUCUCUCUAUAUAUAGAUAUAUAUGCAUAAGAAACGCCACAGAUCAUGGAGAGAAUGGGUGGCCUUACAAAAAAAGAACAAAAAGAAGUGGCGAAGGUGAUAAGGAAGGAGCUUUAAGAGGACACCUUGCGUUGUUGUAUAAGUGGAGUGCGUGCUGAUGUCUGUUUUUCUCUCUCCCCCACUUCUCUCUCCUGAGCCGCUGGAGCUGUGCGCACGGUGUGAAAUCUACUGAGUUCCAUGUCCUGUUCGUCUCUUUUUUUUUUCUUGAUCGUUUUUGCUUCGGAUUUUUUUUCGUGCGUGUUAAUGUGGCUCCUUGUUUUUUGUGUGUGAGAUUUUUUUGUAUGUGUGUCUGUUACAAAGAAGGCUACUAAAACAAACCUCACCUAUACCACCCCAACACGCUCAAAAACAACAGCAACAACGACAACGAAAAAAAAGGCGCCGGCCAUCUGGGCUGCAGUCGGUGAGACGCCUUGACUUGAAGCUCAGUGCUUGUGACCCGCCGUGCCUGAAAUGCAAGUGACUCGCUCUCUGAUGAAGAUAGAGACAGAUAGAGAAGCCGUGCGCUUCUGGUCGCAGCACAAGCAAUGAUGAGGCACCGACUCGUAUCGCAGAUCCGCGAAAGUCAGACAAGUGUUGCACACUGCAGUGGUUUUCCAUCCUGAUGCGGUCACGGCCGUUGUCAAUCAUGGCUGCAGUGGCCAGACAAGGAUCUCACCAUCACUCCCCUAUCCUCCAUUUCAG